rnacentral:rRNA from 1 species
CAGCAGCCGCGGGAAUACGUAGGGUGCAAGCGUUAAUCGGAAUUACUGGGCGUAAAGCGUGCGCAGGCGGUCUGUCAAGUCAGAUGUGAAAUCCCCGGGCUUAACCUGGGAACUGCAUUUGAAACUGGCAGGCUAGAGUCUUGUAGAGGGGGGUAGAAUUCCAGGUGUAGCGGUGAAAUGCGUAGAGAUCUGGAGGAAUACCGGUGGCGAAGGCGGCCCCCUGGACAAAGACUGACGCUCAGGUGCGAAAGCGUGGGGAGCAAACAGGAUUAGAUACCCCAGUAGUCCCUGUCUCUUAUAC